rnacentral:rRNA from 1 species
UACGUAGGGACCGAGCGUUGUCCGGAUUCAUUGGGCGUAAAGAGCUCGUAGGCGGCCACUCAAGUCGAAUGUGAAACCUCGAGGCUUAACCUCGAGCCUGCAUUCGAUACUGGGCGGCUAGAGUCUGGUAGGGGGAUCUGGAAUUCCUGGUGUAGCGGUGGAAUGCGCAGAUAUCAGGAGGAACACCGGUGGCGAAGGCGGGAUCCUGGGCCAACACUGACGCUCAUGCACGAAAGCGUGGGGAGCAAACAGG